ACGAACAAGAAAAGAACAAACGGAGAGAAAAACCAGAGAAGCACAGGAUAGAUAGAUAGAUAGAUAGAUAGAGAGAGAGAGAGAGAGAGAGAGAUAGAGAGAGAGAGAGAGAGAGAGAGAGAGAUAGAGAGAGAGAGAGAGAGAACCAGAGACACAGACAUGGAGGAACAAACAGGGCGAACCAGCACGGAAACAGGGACGCAAAACACAAAAGAAAACAGAGAGGAAACCAGAAGAACAAGCAAACACAAGAGACAAAGUAAACACAGACAGAACAAAAGGAGAAGAACGAAUAACACAGAGACGAGACGAAGAGCAGGAGACAGACAAAAAACACAAAGAGCCGGGAAGAAGAAGAAAAGGAAGGAAAGAAAAACAGAGUGAGGCACAGGAAGAGAAGGCUAAGGAACAGAGGAGAGGGGAGGCCAAUAGCAGAAAGACGAGCACUGAUCUUCUUCCAGGACUCCAGCAACAAAACACCACCUCCAGGUAAGCUCCUUUCGUUUCCCUCCCUUUAGAAAUAAUUACCCUGUCACUGUGCAAAGCAUGCGUGAAUAAUUCACGCAUGCAUGCACAGUGACCAGCCGGGCCGGACCAGUUAUCAAGUUCAGUUCAUAUGAGAUGAGUUAGAUCUAGAAAAAAAAAAAAAUGAGGUCAAGCUGGAUCUGGGCUUCAACCCAUCCAGUCCAAUUUGUUUUUGGGCAAGGAUGUGUUUUUAAAAACACUUUCUUAUGCUAAUCUUCUUAAUUUUAUUUAUUUGUUUUGAUAUUUGAUCAAACAAACUUCUUUUUUAUAUUAGAAAAUUUUAAAAAAAUUUGUGGACUUUUUUAAAUUUAUUUUUAGGUCCCUCCAGUAUUUGUUUCCUAACAAUUUCAUUAUAUAUUUAAUUUGUUGAUUUUUACUGUGAAAUAAUAAUAAUAAUAAUAAUAAUAAUAAUAAAUGAUGAUUUUUUAAUCUAAAAAGUAAAAUGUCGAAAAACAUGUUCUUUUCUGCAAAUAAAAAAUUUAAAAGUUACCAUAUCGAUACGAUAACCAGUAACUUCAAGAUUUAAUUAAAUUAAGUCUACCAGCAGACAACGGAAAUUAAAGAAAGAACCAGGAUGUACCUCUGUGUAUGAGCUUUCCUUUGCGCAGACAUCUGAAGUACAUGAAGAGGCCGAAGGUAAUCAGAGUAGUUGGAAUAGCCACAGCCAAGGUUGUCCGUAUUGUCCUUUUGAUAUUACCUACUUGUAAAUAUAGAGAUCAAAUAUUACAAAAUCAUAAACCAACACCUGUACAAUGGAUUAAGAAGUUUUUUUAUUGUAGAAAAAAUGGAAAGAUUGGUUAUGUAUCUCACUUUUUUCGACAGGGAACACUGCGUCUGCGUUUUUAUCUGAAAAUACAAGACCGUGAUUUUGUCAAAAAUGGUUUCUCGUCAUUUAUUGGAUCAUACUGUCUAUAUGUACAAAGCCAUACCUGUUCGGGUACUGCCAUUACCAAUCUGUAGUUCAAGCUC
rnacentral:lncRNA from 1 species